CAAAAAAAAUUAAAUCGAUAGACAAGUAUCGAUAUUUGAGUUUCCUGAAAAACACAGAAACAAUAAGAAAGUGCAGUUAUCUUGUCUCCCUCCAACAUUUGCUUCUGCUUAUCAACACUUGCUUCGUGUGUGCAAAUGUGGCUAGGCAAUAAUCUAAAUCCUGAAGAUUGGGGCUGAAAAGGUAUGAAUAAAAGUUUGGAGCGAAUUGAGACUUUACUGCCCCCUGCUCCAGAAAAAUUACUCAAUACAGUUUUUUGUAAUUGCAAAAAAGGCUGCACAAAGAAUUGCGGGUGCAGAAAAGUUGGAUUGUAUUGUUCAACGAUUAUUUCGAAAUUGAUGAGGAUAUAACUGAUAGAUCUCUCUUCUUGGAGCAGUCGACACAAAUCGAGCAAGAGGAAGAAACGAGUGACGAUGAAGAACUUGAUGAUAAAUGAAGAAAUCAAAAUAUAUUGUGGAGCAUGCCUACUGGGGAAACCACGUUAAAAAAUGCGCCGUGUACACUACCUCAGAGGUGGUGUGGAAAUGUGUGCAUAUAGUCGAAAAUACGACUUUCCUGCGGUCUAAAGAUCACGAUAUCUCGAAAAAGAUGCUUUGUAGAGGAAAAAGUGUUUUCUCUCUUUUUUGUGACUAUAGUGAAACACCAGGUUUUCAAACUCUCAAAACUGAAAAAACUGCCUGCCAUAGGCGCUGUGCAGAUUCCAACUACUUUUCUGCUUACACGUACAUACGUAUACGUGUGAUCAUAGAUCUCUGUUGCGCUCAUAUAAUAGUGUCAUAUAAAAAAAGUAUAUCUGAGCUGCUAAUAUCCCCAAUCGACAGCUGAUGCAUGGUUUCAUAUUAGAAUUCUAAACAAACAUUUUA